rnacentral:rRNA from 1 species
AGCAUAUCAAUAAGCGGAGGAAAAGAAACUAACAAGGAUUCCCCUAGUAACUGCGAGUGAAGCGGGAAAAGCUCAAAUUUAAAAUCUGGCAGUCUUUGGCUGUCCGAGUUGUAAUCUAGAGAAGCGUUAUCCGCGCUGGACCGUGUACAAGUCUCCUGGAAUGGAGCGUCAUAGAGGGUGAGAAUCCCGUCUUUGACACGGACUGCCAGGGCUUUGUGAUGCGCUCUCAAAGAGUCGAGUUGUUUGGGAAUGCAGCUCAAAAUGGGUGGUAAAUUCCAUCUAAAGCUAAAUAUUGGCGAGAGACCGAUAGCGAACAAGUACCGUGAGGGAAAGAUGAAAAGAACUUUGGAAAGAGAGUUAAACAGUACGUGAAAUUGCUGAAAGGGAAACGCUUGAAGUCAGUCGCGUUGUCCAGGGAUCAACCUUGCUUUUGCUUGGUGUACUUUCUGGUUGACGGGUCAGCAUCAAUUUUGACCGUUGGAAAAAGGUCAAGGGAAUGUGGCAUCUUCGGAUGUGUUAUAGCCCUUGGUUGCAUGCAAUGGUUGGGAUUGAGGAACUCAGCACGCCGCAAGGCCGGGUUUUUAACCACGUACGUGCUUAGGAUGCUGGCAUAAUGGCUUUAAUCGACCCGUCUUGAAACACGGACCAAGGAGUCUAACAUGCCUGCGAGUGUUUGGGUGGAAAACCCGAGCGCGCAAUGAAAGUGAAAGUUGAGAUCCCUGUCGUGGGGAGCAUCGACGCCCGGACCAGACCUUUUGUGACGGUUCCGCGGUAGAGCAUGUAUGUUGGGACCCGAAAGAUGGUGAACUAUGCCUGAAUAGGGUGAAGCCAGAGGAAACUCUGGUGGAGGCUCGUAGCGAUUCUGACGUGCAAAUCGAUCGUCAAAUUUGGGUAUAGGGGCGAAAGACUAAUCGAACCAUCUAGUAGCUG